ensembl:lncRNA
AUUUUUUUUAUUGCAGUUCUUCUCUUUUAUAUAGAUAUUGCAACAGAUACAAAUCUGGACACAUUUUAAAACCAAACGAUAGCUAUUCCAUGUUAAUAAAGUGUUCAUAUACAUUACUCUGUAUCUUGAAAAUCAAAUGACACUGGAAUAAAACAAUAAAAUAAAAGACCCAUUAUCAGUCACACCAGAAGAUGCUCGUUAUUUGUGAAAUCAUGUCAUCUGGUCUUUUAAAAUUGAAGCACCAUGCGAUGGCUCAGACAUUCUUCCCGCUAUAGGUUUGGAACAGAAUUGAAGGAGUCAUGAAUUGUUCAGUAGGAAGGUUUAGCCCAAACGAUAACUAUCGGUGCCAAACUGGUACAAAGAACUGAAAAGGAAAAAUAUUGACAUUUUACACAAUAAAACAAUGCAGUUGUUUCAUAGAGCAAUUGAUUUGAAACAACGGGGGGGAUGAAGUGAAAUGGCUAGUUUAGUCUCUAUUGAAAGGUUAUGACCACAUCAUUUGCCACUAGAUGGCCUCUUUAACCACAGAAAGAGAUCUUGAUGACAGCUCAUUGCAAUUAUAAAGAUCAUCGGUGACUCGUUACUUUCAUGUUCACUGUGAUCUUCACCAGGGCUUUGUGAAUCGGGCUGCAAACACACGGCUCACAAAAAAAACAACGACAUUUUCUUGCAACCCCUUUGACAAAUAUAAUUUCCAAAUAAAAAGUUGACAACGCUGAAUCCAAAGCAUUGCCAAACGCCAGCUGAGCGACCAGGGUUGUAAAAUCCCAGUAACUUUCCUCAAAUUCCCAGAAAUAAACAAGAAAUCUGGAAUCGUCCAAUCAGGAUUUCUGGAGGAAAUAUGGGACAUUUAAGUAAAGUUACCAAAAAAUUACAACCCUGUGAACAACAAAUGACAGUGUUUCUGUAUUUUCCUCCCCUUCAUGUGUAAACAAAGUUAGCAGGGGAACCCUCGUCAUCAAAGUUAGCAGGGGAACCCUCGUCAUCAAAGUUAGCAGGGGAACCCUCGUAAUCAAAGUUAGCAGGGGAACCCUCGUAAUCAAAGUUAGCAGGGGAACCCUCGUAAUCAAAGUUAGCAGGGGAACCCUCGUAAUCAAAGUUAGCAGGGGGAACCCUCGUAAUCAAAGUUAGCAGGGGAACCCUCGUCAGGACAGACAAUGGUGUACAACUGUACAAACCCCAACAGAGUCACUGGAAGGUGUUUCUGGUCUUUAGUCGUGUUAAGAACCACGUGUUAAACCCCAACAGUCACUGGAAGGUGUUUCUGGUCUUUAGUCGUGUUAAGAACCACGUGUUAAACCCCAACAGUCACUGGAAGGUGUUUCUGGUCUUUAGUCGUGUUAAGAACCACGUGUUAAACCCCAACAGUCACUGGAAGGUGUUUCUGGUCUUUAGUCGUGUUAAGAACCACAUGUUAAACCCCAACAGUCACUGGAAGGUGUUUCUGGUCUUUAGUCGUGUUAAGAUCCACGUGUUAAACCCCAACAGUCACUGGAAGGUGUUUCUGGUCUUUAGUCGUGUUAAGAUCCACGUGUUAAACCCCAACAGAGUCACUGGAAG